rnacentral:tRNA from 1 species
GGGUCCGUGGCCCAGUCAGGAAAGGGUGCUGAUUUUCGAAGCCAGAGUUCAUGGGAUCGAAGCCCAUCGGACCCG